rnacentral:rRNA from 1 species
UGGGGAAUAUUGGACAAUGGGGGCAACCCUGAUCCAGCAAUUCUGUGUGCACGAAGAAGGUUUUCGGAUUGUAAAGUGCUUUCAGCAGGGAAGAAGAAAGUGACGGUACCUGCAGAAGAAGCGACGGCUAAAUACGUGCCAGCAGCCGCGGUAAUACGUAUGUCGCAAGCGUUAUCCGGAAUUAUUGGGCAUAAAGGGCAUCUAGGCGGCCCUGUAAGUCUAGGGUGAAAACCCGCGGCUCAACCGCAGGCCUGCCCCGGAAACUACAAGGCUAGAGUAUCGGAGAGGUGGACGGAACUGCACGAGUAGAGGUGAAAUUCGUAGAUAUGUGCAGGAAUGCCGAUGAUGAAGAUAGUUCACUGGACGGUAACUGACGCUGAAGUGCGAAAGCUAGGGGAGCAAACAGGAUUAGAUACCCUGGUAGUCCUAGCUGUAAACGAUGAUUACUGGGUGUGGGCAUGAAGAGUGUCCGUGCCGAAGCAAAUGCGAUAAGUAAUCCGCCUGGGGAGUACGGCCGCAAGGCUG